UACGGGGGGGGCAAGCGUUGUUCGGAAUUACUGGGCGUAAAGGGCUCGUAGGCGGCCAACUAAGUCGGACGUGAAAUCCCUCGGCUCAACCGGGGAACUGCGUCCGAUACUGGAUGGCUUGAGUUCGGGAGAGGGAUGCGGAAUUCCAGGUGUAGCGGUGAAAUGCGUAGAUAUCUGGAGGAACACCGGUGGCGAAGGCGGCAUCCUGGACCGACACUGACGCUGAGUGAGCGAAAGCCAGGGGAGCAAACGGG
rnacentral:rRNA from 1 species